GACGAACGCUGGCGGCGUGCUUAACACAUGCAAGUCGUACGGUAAGGCCCUUUCGGGGGUACACGAGUGGCGAACGGGUGCGUAACACGUGAGUAACCUGCCCACAACUUUGGGAUAACGCUAGGAAACUGGUGCUAAUACUGGAUAUGUGCUCCUGCUGCAUGGUGGGGGUUGGAAAGCUCCGGCGGUUGUGGAUGGACUCGCGGCCUAUCAGCUUGUUGGUGGGGUAGUGGCCUACCAAGGCGGCGACGGGUAGCCGGCCUGAGAGGGUGACCGGCCACAUUGGGACUGAGAUACGGCCCAGACUCCUACGGGAGGCAGCAGUGGGGAAUAUUGCACAAUGGGCGCAAGCCUGAUGCAGCAACGCCGCGUGCGGGAUGACGGCCUUCGGGUUGUAAACCGCGUUCAGCAGGGACGAAGCUUUUUGUGACGGUACCUGCAGAAGAAGCACCGGCUAACUACGUG
rnacentral:rRNA from 1 species